rnacentral:rRNA from 1 species
GAUGAACGCUGGCGGCGUGCCUAAUACAUGCAAGUCGAGCGAACAGACGAGGAGCUUGCUCCUCUGACGUUAGCGGCGGACGGGUGAGUAACACGUGGAUAACCUACCUAUAAGACUGGGAUAACUUCGGGAAACCGGAGCUAAUACCGGAUAAUAUAUUGAACCGCAUGGUUCAAUAGUGAAAGACGGUUUUGCUGUCACUUAUAGAUGGAUCCGCGCCGCAUUAGCUAGUUGGUAAGGUAACGGCUUACCAAGGCAACGAUGCGUAGCCGACCUGAGAGGGUGAUCGGCCACACUGGAACUGAGACACGGUCCAGACUCCUACGGGAGGCAGCAGUAGGGAAUCUUCCGCAAUGGGCGAAAGCCUGACGGAGCAACGCCGCGUGAGUGAUGAAGGUCUUCGGAUCGUAAAACUCUGUUAUUAGGAAAGAACAAAUGUGUAAGAAACUAUGCACGUCUUGACGGUACCUAAUCAGAAAGCCCCGGCUAACUACGUG